rnacentral:rRNA from 1 species
GAUGAACGCUGGCGGCGUGCCUAAUACAUGCCAGUCGAGCGAACGGACGCGACGCUUGCUUCUCUGAUGUUAGCGGCGGACGGGUGAGUAACACGUGGAUAACCUACCUAUAAGACUGGGAUAACUUCGGGAAACCGGAGCUAAUACCGGAUAAUAUUUUGAACCGCAUGGUUCAAAAGUGAAAGACGGUCUUGCUGUCACUUAUAGAUGGAUCCGCGCUGCAUUAGCUAGUUGGUAAGGUAACGGCUUACCAAGGCAACGAUGCAUAGCCGACCUGAGAGGGUGAUAGGCCACACGGGAAGUGAGACACGGUCAAGACUCCUAAGGGAGGGAGCAGUAGGGAAUCUUCGGCAGUGGGCGAGAGCAUGACGGAGCAAGGCGGCGUGAGUGAUGAAGGUCUUCGGAGCGUAAAACUCUGUUACUAGGGAAGAACAGAUGUGGAAGUAAAUGAGCAGAGAGUGACGGUAACGAAUCAGAAAGCAACGGCUAACUACGUG